rnacentral:miRNA from 1 species
UUCCUCCCGACCGGUGAGAGUGUACACUCUCAUUGACCAAGAGGGAUUCCUCUCGGCCGGUGAAAGAGUACACUCUCAGAAAGUGUACUCUUUCACCGGCUGAGAGGAAUCCGUCCCGGUCGAUGAGAGUGUACACUCUCACCAGCCAAGAGGAA